rnacentral:sRNA from 1 species
AAAUGUGUUAAGUCGUAGGUAAGAGAACCUGUAGCAGGUUUGAGCCGAGCGGAGCGAGACGACAACGCGAACGCGUUGCCCGAAGGGUGAGGCCAGAGGCCGAAUCAAUCCCGUACGACCCACCA